AACCCUAAUGACACAACUAUUUAAAACAGCCGAAGAAACAUUGAGAAUGGCGGCGAGAUCUGUGAGCUUAAAGGACAAUGAAGCAUGUGGUCAAGAUUUUGAGCCUGCUGGUAGCUGUCUCUGCCUUUUAGUUUGCUCUCUUGCAGGCUGCAAUUAUGGCUCGUAGCCAAACAUAGUUGCUACCUAUAUACGUUGUAGUGUCCUUUGCUAUUAAUUGUUGGAAUCGGUUUAGUGCAGUUCCCUACCUCUCCUAAAGAAGCAGUUUUUCUGCAGCGGGAUAUUGCAGAUGCAAAAAGACUUCUUAAGCGCUAACGGAAUUGAUGUUGGAUCGGAUUUGACACAUUAUGGUUUACUUCUUUUCAACUCCCUAACCAGUGUAAUAGAAUACUUGGAGUCUUCGAUGGUUCAUAGAAAGAGUUCCCAUUUUCAUUAUGUACAGUCGUUUACUAUGUUUUUUUGAGAGAUGUACAUUGAGAAACCGGUGUUUGCAAUUGGAUUUUGUUUUGGGGUUUUAAACAUGAUGAAGAACAAUGUUAUUCUGAUAAGUUCACUUUAAUUGACUUUUUUUUUUGGAAUAUCGUUUGUUACAUUUUUUCUCGUGUAUACAAUAAGUUGUGAAUCCAACU
rnacentral:sRNA from 1 species